UACGGGGGGGGCAAGCGUUGUUCGGAAUUACUGGGCGUAAAGGGCUCGUAGGCGGCCAACUAAGUCGGACGUGAAAUCCCCAGGCUCAACCUGGGAACUGCGUCCGAUACUGGAUGGCUUGAAUCCGGGAGAGGGAUGCAGAAUUCCAGGUGUAGCGGUGAAAUGCGUAGAUAUCUGGAGGAACACCGGUGGCGAAGGCGGCAUCCUGGACCGGUAUUGACGCUGAGGCGCGAAAGCUAGGGGAGCGAACGGG
rnacentral:rRNA from 1 species